UACAGAGGGUGCAAGCGUUAAUCGGAAUUACUGGGCGUAAAGCGCACGUAGGCGGAUACUUAAGUCAGGGGUGAAAUCCCGGGGCUCAACCCCGGAACUGCCUUUGAUACUGGGUAUCUCGAGUCCGGAAGAGGUGAGUGGAAUUCCGAGUGUAGAGGUGAAAUUCGUAGAUAUUCGGAGGAACACCAGUGGCGAAGGCGGCUCACUGGUCCGGUACUGACGCUGAGGUGCGAAAGCGUGGGGAGCAAACAGG
rnacentral:rRNA from 1 species